rnacentral:lncRNA from 1 species
ACACACAACAUUCCAGGAAUGGACUACCAAAGUUCUAUCAAUAUUUGAAUGUCCUGGACAUUUAGGGAACAUUCGGUGAACAUCUGAUUAAAUUAUUCGUGGAAUGUUACCAUAAGACAUUCUGUGAACAUACUACCAAUGUUCCUAUAUGUUCAUUUUCAAAUUCACGGCGCAUGUAUUUGUGCAUGGUGCUUAGAGAGGGCAUCACGUGACUAAAAACGACCAAUGACCUCACUUCAGACUUCGGUGCUUCGGCCAUCUUGACAUGCAUCUUGGCCUUGGCCACCUUGCCGUGCGUGAUCGUUGUUUGUUUUUAUUUGUGCUUUUUAAGAAUAUUUUUUAAUUCGGAUACUUUUAUAAUAACUUUAAUAGUAUUAUUAAUAUAGUGCAUAAAAUCAGUUGGAGUAGCAGAAGCAAUGUAGAUAAAAAAUCUGCAGGAAUAAUGUUUCAAAGCUUUCCAGAAGAUCCUGCAAAGAAGGCAUGAAGUAUUGAUCAGAUUUGUUAAUAGAGCAGUAUGUUCAAAACAUUUUUUAGAAAAAGAUAUUGACAGAACUUCACUUUCAACCGUUUGAGAGACUGUGCUGUUCCAAUAGCUUAUAUCACACAGAAUCAGCUGAGAGAAGUGGUCUACAAAAAACCAGGAAGGAAAUGGAAUAUGUGGCUAUGAAAGGCAAAAGAAAGGUUUACAAAGCAAAUGUGACACAUUUUUUUAUAGGAAUAUCAGUAAAUUACAUUAAAAAAAUGUAUGAAAAGAUUUUUUGCAAUAAAAAUGUUUAUAUUUAUCAAGGAUGCAUUAUUUGGUAUGGCCACAUAUCGUCAGUGAUGUGACAAUACCUCCUAUCUGUUUUUUGA